rnacentral:rRNA from 1 species
CCCUUAGAUGUUCUGGGCCGCACGCGCGCUACACUGAUGCAUUCAACGAGUCUAAAACCUGCUCUGAUAGGGGUGGGUAAUCUUUUGAAUGUGCACCGUGAUUGGGAUAGAUGAUUGCAAUUUUUCAUCUUCAACGAGGAAUGCCUAGUAAACGCAAGUCAUCAGCUUGCAUUGAUUACGUCCCUGCCCUUUGUACACACCGCCCGUCGCUCCUACCGAUUGAAUGAUCCGAUGAAUAUCAUGGAUUGAGGAUGUAAGCAGGUUCGCCUGUCUUCAUCUUCGAGAAGUGAAGUAAAUCUUAUCAUUUAGAGGAAGGAGAAGUCGUAACA